AACGAACGCUGGCGGCAGGCCUAAUACAUGCAAGUCGAGCGCGCCCUUCGGGGUGAGCGGCGGACGGGUGAGUAACGCGUGGGAACGUGCCCUUUUCUACGGAAUAGCCUCGGGAAACUGAGAGUAAUACCGUAUACGCCCUUUGGGGGAAAGAUUUAUCGGAAAAGGAUCGGCCCGCGUUGGAUUAGGUAGUUGGUGGGGUAAUGGCCUACCAAGCCGACGAUCCAUAGCUGGUUUGAGAGGAUGAUCAGCCACACUGGGACUGAGACACGGCCCCAACUGCGGGAGGACGCAGGAGGGGGACAGAGGGCAGAGGGGGGGCACGCGGGAGCGAGGCGGGCGGGGGGGGGGGGGAAGUCGAUGGGGUUGUAUAGCUUUGUCGGGUGUGAAGAGAAACACCGUACGAGCAGAAGAAGCACCGGCGAACGCCGGCCCAGCGGCGGCGGUAAUAUGCGGAGGCGCAUACGUAUGACC
rnacentral:rRNA from 1 species